CUAACAAUUUCCUAAGUUUAUAAUGACCACAUUGAUCCAAGCACCCCAGUCUGAGUAACAAGGAACACAAUGAUGGCUGGAAUACUCGUGAACUUCGAAUUCUUUGUUUCUAGGGCUAGGCAUGGUACCCAGACCCAGCAAUGCCCAUCAGAGUCUAUGAGGGCAUCAGGACAAGGAGGAUGGAAUGGGGAGGGUGAAGAAAAUCCUGCUGUACCUGCGAUGGACGAAAAGUUCGGGUGAAAGAUGAGUUGCAAUGGAGGUUAAGACCCGAGAUACCAAAGACAAGCAGAGUGUGAGCCAUGGAAAGAAUAUGCCUUGCAUCUCCGUGCCCAAAGUACUCUUAGUAAUGAUGGCGGUAAUUUAUAUGAAAGGAUGCACAAGCUUAACUGGAAAUCCCAGAAUGUCCAAAGGAAAAGAUGGAAGGCUCUUCAUCAGCAACGACAGAUGUCAAAAGUAACCUGCAAGCAUUACGUCUUAGGAGUCUGGUCAAGAGCUCCAUACACUCGUGAAGGCAUUAGUUCAUUAGUUCCA